AUGCCUUGCCUUCGCCCGCUACCCCGGUCGUCCCGUUGCAUGCAUGACCCUCCGCUGCUCCGGGUCCCACCUCGCCGUCGCCCACCGUGCGCCUGGUCGCCCGCCGUGUCGUCACGUUGCAUGCUUGCCUUCGCCCACCCACACCGUCUUGGCCGCCGGCCGCGUGCACGGCCUCGUUAUUCCCGUAAACCACGAUCACCGUCGUCGUUGACCAUUCGUGUUUAUGCAUGCAUAGAUUUCUCCUUUUCUUUAUCUUGUCGCUAUCUCGUACUGCGUCCCAAUUCACACGUGGGGCCACCAUGUCAUCGGCGAGAGCUAUCAUCAGAGGAUAAGAAAAGGAGACCGUUUCUCGAUGCGUUGCACCACAUGGCAGCAUUUAAAGCGUACACAUCAGGCGGCCGCCUCGUCAGUACUGUCUUAACUGCCGCCUUCGGACACGCAGAGCACCGGCCAAGAAAUCUCUCCCGCACGCGGUCCCGUCUCGCCCUGCUGCACCGGUGCAACCUCGAGCUCCCCCGCCGAUCUCUCUAUCCUCCUUGCCGUGCCAUGGCACGGCCAGCGUCCCUCGACUGUGAUUCUGACGACUAUGACUCCGACUCCGGCCAUGCUUCCGGUGACGAAACUCGGCCCAAUAAGCGUCUUGUGUAUGAUUCUGAUGGAGGAUUCUAUAUUAAUGAUGAUGAUGAUGAUGAUGAUGAUGAUGACGACGACGACGACGAAGAUGAUGAAUAG
rnacentral:rRNA from 1 species